rnacentral:misc_RNA from 1 species
GGCGGUGAAGGAGGCAGACGACGA